rnacentral:rRNA from 1 species
UCACAUUCCUAUAUUACAUUUGCUUAUCACCUUGCUGGUUCUGUCUGGACUUGGAAGUGAAGAAUGGUUAGGCCUAAUUAGUACCUAGGUGGGAGACCACAUGUCAAAAAUAUCCUGUUAGAAUGCAAC